rnacentral:lncRNA from 1 species
CCGGAUCUUUCAGCUUCGGAGGCAAUUUCUGCUGCAACACCGCACUGCACUCCUCGGUCAAAGCUACAGUCUCCAAUUCCUCAAGUUUAAGUUUCCGAGAUAGAAUACCUUUCAUGAAUUUAGCAUAACUCGGCAUCUGUUCUAGAGCUUCCGCAAAAGGUAUAUUGAUUUGUAAUUUCUUGAAAACCUCUAGAAAUUUAGCGAAUUGUUUGUCGAGCUUAUGCUUCUGAAGUCUCUUCGGAAAAGGGGGAGGUGGAUAUACUUGCUUGACCCCAUUAUCAGAUUUAGGACUAGACUUCUCAGUUGAUUCCUUGCUUGCCUCCUCGUUGAUUUCUUUCUUGUCAGC